rnacentral:rRNA from 1 species
UGGGGAAUUUUGGGGCAAUGGGGCAGCCCAUGACUCCAGCAAUGCCGCGUGAGUGAAGAAGGCCUUCGGGUUAUAAAGCUCUUUUGUCAGGGAAGAAACGGUGGUGGCGAAUAACUACUACUAAUGACGGUACCUGAAGAAUAAGCACCGGCUAACUACGUGCCAGCAGCCGCGGUAAUACGUAGGGUGCAAGCGUUAAUCGGAAUUACUGGGCGUAAAGCGUGCGCAGGCGGUUGUGUAAGUCAGAUGUGAAAUCCCCGGGCUCAACCUGGGAAUUGCAUUUGAGACUGCACGGCUAGAGUGUGUCAGAGGGGGUAGAAUUCCACGUAGUCAGCAGUGAAAUGACGUAGAUAUGUGGAGGAAUACCGAUGGCGAAGGCAGCCCCCU